rnacentral:rRNA from 1 species
AUUGAACGCUGGCGGCAUGCUUUACACAUGCCAGUCGAACGGUAACAGGCCGCAAGGUGCUGACGGGUGGCGAACGGGUGAGUAAUGCAUCGGAACGUGCCCAGUCGUGGGGGAUAACUACUCGAAAGAGUAGCUAAUACCGCAUACGAUCUAUGGAUGAAAGCGGGGGACCGUAAGGCCUCGCGCGAUUGGAGCGGCCGAUGUCAGAUUAGGUAGUUGGUGGGGUAAAGGCUCACCAAGCCAACGAUCUGUAGCUGGUCUGAGAGGACGACCAGCCACACUGGGACUGAGACACGGCCCAGACUCCUACGGGAGGCAGCAGUGGGGAAUUUUGGACAAUGGGCGCAAGCCUGAUCCAGCAAUGCCGCGUGCAGGAAGAAGGCCUUCGGGUUGUAAACUGCUUUUGUACGGAACGAAACGGCUCUGGUUAAUACCCGGGGCUAAUGACGGUACCGUAAGAAUAAGCACCGGCUAACUACGUG